rnacentral:lncRNA from 1 species
CUUGUCCGGUAGAUGGGAAAUACUGCCAAACAUGCACUCUCCCCGUAGAUUGUGCUCUGGCUUUUUCAUGGAUGGAAAAUUCCAUGUGAUCGGUGGGAUGACUAGUGCUACUGAUUCUUUGACUUGUGGGGAAGAAUUUGAUAUACAAACAAGGAAGUGGAGGAAAAUUGAGGGCAUGUAUUAUGUGAUCGGUGGGAUGACUAGCGCUACUGAUUCUUUGACUUGUGGGGAAGAAUUUGAUAUACAAACAAGGAAGUGGAGGAAAAUUGAGGGCAUGUAUCCAAGUGUCAAUAGAGCUGCUCAGGCACCUCCUCUUGUUGCAGUCGUUAAUAACCAACUAUAUGCAGUUGAAUAUCUAACCAACAUGGUAAAGAAGUAUGACAAGAAAAAAAACUCAUGGGAAGUGUUGGGAAGACUUCCUGUGAGGGCUGAUUCUUCAAAUGGUUGGGGUCUUGCUUUCAAAGCACGUGGUGAAGAACUUCUGGUGGUGGGCGGCCACAGGGGCCCAGAAGGCGAAUCUAUCGUAUUGAGUUCCUGGGCACCAAAAUCAGGCUUUAAGGACGGCACCUUGGAUUGGAAGGUCAUUGGUCUGAAAGAGCAUUCCGGGGUCUUUGUAUACAAUUGUGCUGUGAUGGGUUGUUGAGAAGUUCAGUCAACCAAAUGGAGAAAGAAGUCACUCUUUUCAGUCGUUGUUUUUAGCUUAAUUCCAACACAUUGUUUGAUUUAUUAGAAUUUGUUUUUUUCUUUUUAUUUUCAUUAUCCAAUUUAACAUAUUUCCAGUGUUUGAGAUAAGCAAUUGUUCUAGCCAAAUAUCCUCUAACUGGAUGGUUAUCUCACUUAUUCGGCAGACUGCGUGCUUCCAAGUGUUCUCAGUUUUCACCUUGUUCA